UACGGAGGGGGCUAGCGUUGUUCGGAAUUACUGGGCGUAAAGCGCGCGUAGGCGGCUUUGUAAGUUAGAGGUGAAAGCCCGGGGCUCAACUCCGGAAUUGCCUUUAAGACUGCAUCGCUAGAACGUCGGAGAGGUAAGUGGAAUUCCGAGUGUAGAGGUGAAAUUCGUAGAUAUUCGGAAGAACACCAGUGGCGAAGGCGACUUACUGGACGACUGUUGACGCUGAGGUGCGAAAGCGUGGGGAGCAAACAGG
rnacentral:rRNA from 1 species